UGCUGCGAGGGCGGCGCCGCGCGGCGCGCAUCCGCGAGUGAGUAAACCGCGCAUAGACAGCAGUGCGCGCCAAGCCCCUUUUGAAUGAAGAUGGCGGGAAGUACUGAGGAGGCCGAGUUUCUCCGACAGAGGCUCACUUAUUUGGAAAACAUCGGUGAGGAUCUGAGAGAAGCAAUUAGCCUGAUGUCCAAGCUAAACAGCAAUCUCCAAGUGUGGGCAGAGCGAAAUGGUGAAGAGGAGGCACUGAAUCAAGUGUGGGGAAUGUUCAUAAAUCGAGUGACCUCCAUAUCCGGAAUUUUGUCCUCAGUACAGAAGUAUGAAGCUGAAGAAGCAUAAGAAUCUGAUUCAAAGACGGGAACCCCUGCUUUUAGCCAGAUUGACUUGACAUCCACAGCACAACUGUGUACUUUCAUGAAAUGUUAAUGGUUUCAUUUUGUGUUAGUGUACAGGUUGUCUGCAGGUGACCAGUGAUGACUACAGUGUGUGUUAGCAUCCAUCAUGGAGCAAUGAAGUCCUUAUUGUUUUGGCUCUGCCUGCCAUCAAUGCAUCUGAAGCAGUGAAGUCUGCUGCAGGUUUUGUUUAGGGACACAGUUGUUUCUUAUUUCAGCAAUACCUUUUAGAGGCCAGCAUUUACAUCUUAAGUUGUAGUAUACAUGAGCUUUUCUCUG